rnacentral:rRNA from 1 species
GACGAACGCUGGCGGCGUGCCUAAUACAUGCAAGUCGAACGCUGAAGGAGGAGCUUGCUUCUCCGGAUGAGUUGCGAACGGGUGAGUAACGCGUAGGUAACCUGCCUGGUAGCGGGGGAUAACUAUUGGAAACGAUAGCUAAUACCGCAUAAGAGUAGAUGUUGCAUGACAUUUGCUUAAAAGGUGCAAUUGCAUCACUACCAGAUGGACCUGCGUUGUAUUAGCUAGUUGGUGAGGUAACGGCUCACCAAGGCGACGAUACAUAGCCGACCUGAGAGGGUGAUCGGCCACACUGGGACUGAGACACGGCCCAGACUCCUACGGGAGGCAGCAGUAGGGAAUCUUCGGCAAUGGACGGAAGUCUGACCGAGCAACGCCGCGUGAGUGAAGAAGGUUUUCGGAUCGUAAAGCUCUGUUGUAAGAGAAGAACGAGUGUGAGAGUGGAAAGUUCACACUGUGACGGUAUCUUACCAGAAAGGGACGGCUAACUACGG